ensembl:lncRNA
GUGGACUGCAGUGAGGAACAGGAGUGGAAUGUGUGGCUGGUUUCUUUUAUAGCUAAAGCUUAUAUUGAAACUUAAGGUUGCAUUUUCAUGAAAGCUUUGGCUGGGGGAGAAAAUUGAGGUGGGGUGUGAUUGUUUUUCAGGACGUUUCUCCACCAGCGGAAGUUCCUGCGUCAGUGCAAUUGUGAUCAGCCUCAGAGCGCGACUGCCAAGAGCAUGUUUUUCAGACUUUCGCUCCAGGUGUAAGGUGAAUUCACCAAAAUGGCAUCAAUACAUCAGAGACAAAACGAGGAUCUCAAUCGUUGUCACUUGCGGAGGAUCGGAUGCAAACCCACGGUCGCUGGUGUUGCUGAUCUUAUUCACUUUUAUAAGGACGUUACACUGUUUGGCAGAAACAAAGAUGUCGUGGACUACUACAUUAGCUCUCCAGGUGAAACAAAAGACUGCAUAUCGCGACAUCAUGCCAGAGUGAUUCGAACCGCUGAUACUUACGAGCUCGUGGAUUCCAGCCUGACAGGCGUUUAUGUUAAUGACAUCAAAAUUGGUGGUAAAGUUAYCUUGCAGAAAGGUGAUACUGUUAUAUUUGGGCAUCCCACAGAAAGAUAUGUAAAGCCUGGAACACAAGUUCGUCARCCAAACUCACAGCUCUGCUUUCUGUUUGAACACUGUUGCUGCAGGAUUGACCAGUGGCAAAAUGCCUGUGAUGAGAUGAGGAAUUUCAUACCACAGAUUCCAUUACUCCCGUUAACAUCUCCAGAGGUUCCUCAAUUCAGCUCAAACUUGGUGUUUGAGAAAAGCGUUAGUCUUCCUGCUCAACCCCCAUCAACACAGACACCCCGAGAUACUCCACGUAAUGUUGGAGCUCUGUCUGAGUCUAGUAUGUGUUCUGGAGGGAGAGAGGCUUCCACGGUCACCGUGUCCUUGCCAUUUAGUUCUGUGGGAUCAAUAAAAUUUUCAGCKAAGUCCUCUGUCUCUACAAAUUUUACUACUGUGACUUCAGCCAGAUUUGAAAAGCAAGGAACCUGUAAAUCAACUGCAAUAUCAGAUACUACCCUGAAAGGUUGCACUACAUUGGAGCCUCUGCUUUUACGCUCUGCUUCACCCGAAUAUGAGGUAAUGAGCAGGAAUUCAGCAGUGACUGCGGAGUCUGUUCAACAGGCAGCCUUUUUGCCUCAGGAAAAUGUCUCAAGCAAARCAAAACUGAUAAAUCCUGACUUGCUACCUAUGGAACAAAGUGAAGGCCAGACCUAUGCAUCAAGAUCCAUCCCAGAAUCUUACAAACUAUUUCUGGAAGAAAAACGGGACAGUGAAGGAGUAGAAAUGGAACCUUAUUCAGCAGCUUCUCCUAAUGAGGAACCUGUGAUACCCAGGGAUAUUGUGAGGGCAGACGAUUGUCACCCGUGUAGCAGAGAGCUAGUUAGUCUUUCAGUUGGCAUGUUAGCUCUUUCAGACUCAUCUCAGCCGGGAUGUCAAGGCCAACRUGUUCCUCGGUUGUUAGAACCUGUAGCUGACAAGUCAGUGCUUCAGAGUUGUGAAGGGUCUGACAGUGAGUUAGUGGUGAUGGAGACUGAUGUUGAUGAAUGCACAGAURAAAUGGUUAGAUAUGAAACUGCUGAGACUUCAGGACUUGGCACUCAGGUUAUGAAUCUACUUGAGGCCACAAAAGAAGAUACGAAUAAUGUGCCAUUAGUCAGUAGUUACAAGGAGAAGACAACAGAAAAGGAAAGUCCUGUGGAGCACCACAGAGAGACCUCUGAGGAACGGCAUAAACCUGAUGUUUGUGCACGUGAUGCUUCAUGUGAGACUACAUUUUUUACUGAAAUAGAAAUGUAUGAAUAUUAUCCAAAGAAAAAAAAAUGUUCUUCUGUUAACAGCUCAACAGAAUCAGUCACUGACAUAAAAAAUAAUUCAGAAAAUGGUGACCCUAUUAAAAGAACAAGGGGUCUUGAAGGUCAGCAUGCCACUGUAAAACAAAUAGAGAAUCAAAAAAACCCAGUGCGUKCUGGUAUUAAAACUGCAGCAGCAGAAGAGGAGUUGCUGUCUGAAACCACUGAGGCUCUAAGCAUUAGAGUGCAGGACACGAGUGUACAGCUGGAGCCAGAAAUGRAGCUUUUGUACUCUGAGACCAAAAGUGACCUUACGUCAACUUUAAAAGAAA